AAAAAGAAAAAAAAAGAAGAGGAGACAGAUCUGUGGAAAAAAAAAGAAAAGAAUAGAAAAAAUUAGGGGAACAGAUCUAGAAAAAGGAAAAAACAGUGCAGAAUUAAAGAAAGAGUUCCAAGACGAGAAUAAGCUGUUGGAGGAAGAGAUGGGGAGGGAAAGACAACGAUUGGCGGGGCUUCAACUUGAAGCACUUCUGGAAGAGAAAUCAAGAUCGCAAAAUGAGAAUGCCAAAUCUUCUUUCAGGGCUCCAGGGCAAGUCCCAAGUAGCAUGUUGAAUAUGCUAGACUAUGAUUGUAAUCUGGCAACACUAUGGCAGAAGGAGUAGAAAGAAACAUGGUAAGGGGUAGAACAAGAGCAAAAUGUGGAGAAAAGAAGAAAAAAACAUAAAAAAGAAAAAAAACAGAAAUAAGAAGAAAAAAAGAGAAGGCAGAUCUGUGGAAAAAAAAAGAAAAGAAAAAUUUGUGGAACAGAUCCAGAAAAGGGAAAAACAGAGAGCAGAAUCAAAGGAAGAUUUCCAAGAAAAUGUGAAAAAAAUAGCCAGAGUAAGCUAUUGGAGGAAGAAAUGGGAAGUUUCAUGAUGGAGUAAUGGGAGGAAAGCAUGACGGUUUCGUGAGGCUUCAACUUGAAGCACUUCUGGAAGAGAAAUCAAGAUCUGAAAAUGAGAAUUCAAACCUGAAUAGGAAAAACAAGUACCUGCAUCAACUAGUGGAGUACCCUCGCUCAACAGAUCCGAAAUAGCAUGGAAAUUAGGCUGCCAAAUCUUCUUUCAGGACUCCAGGACAGGAUGAACUUUCCAGGCUUGGUGAAAAGAUGGUUCAUAGUUCCGAGGGUAAAAGAGCUUUAGCUCGGGUACUUUGCCAUGAAUUUCACGACAAGUUCCUCCAGCAUGGUCUGUACUCAGGGAUUGGACAAAGAAGACAUGCUAUUUAAGCUAUACAGUUCUGUAAGGUUUGUUUCUUUCCAUGCAUCCAGCCUAUCGUGUGUGAUGCUUUCGGCAGUUUGUAAUUCUU